rnacentral:misc_RNA from 1 species
UAACCCUCAAGCCUAGCUUGGUAUUGGAGUCGCUGUACAGCGGCCCCCAAAUUCAGUGGCGGUGCCUGUAGGUUCUACGCGUAGUAACUUUUCUCGCUAUAGAUCCCUACGAGUGCUUGCCAACAACCCCAAUUUUUCA